rnacentral:sRNA from 1 species
CUUUGCACUCAUUGAGGAAGGGUGAGGACCUUCGAUUAAGGUUCGACUCGAGCGAAAGCGAGAGAACGUUGCCGCAGGCAACGGCCCGAAGGGUGAGGAGCGAAGCGACGAAUAAUCCUUCCCCCACCACCA